rnacentral:rRNA from 1 species
GAGUUUGAUCAUGGCUCAGGAUGAACGCUAGCGGCAGGCUUAACACAUGCAAGUCGAGGGGUAGUUACUUUCGGGUAAUGAGACCGGCGCACGGGUGCGUAACGCGUAUGCAAUCUACCUUUUACAGAGGGAUAGCCCAGAGAAAUUUGGAUUAAUACCUCAUAGUAUAACGACUCCGCAUGGAGAUGUUAUUAAGGUUCCAACGGUAAAAGAUGAGCAUGCGUCCCAUUAGUUAGUUGGUAAGGUAACGGCUUACCAAGACGAUGAUGGGUAGGGGUCCUGAGAGGGAGAUCCCCCACACUGGUACUGAGACACGGACCAGACUCCUACGGGAGGCAGCAGUGAGGAAUAUUGGACAAUGGGCGCAAGCCCGAUCCAGCCAUGCCGCGUGCAGGAAGAAGCAUCUAUGGUGUGUAAACUGCUUUUAUACAGGAAGAAACACUCCCUCGUGAGGGAGCUUGACGGUACUGUAAGAAUAAGGACCGGCUAACUCCGUGCCAGCAGCCGCGGUAAUACGGAGGGUCCAAGCGUUAUCCGGAAUCAUUGGGUUUAAAGGGUCCG